rnacentral:rRNA from 1 species
CCUGAACGCUGGCGGCGUGGCUAAGACAUGCAAGUCGAACGGUGUAGCAAUACACAGUGGCGGACGGGUGAGUAAUGUAUCGCUAAUGUGCCCCGGAGACAGGGAUAGCCAUCCGAAAGGGUGGGUAAUACCUGAUGAUAUAACUUUGUCGCAUGGCAGAGUUCUCAAAAGCAGCAAUGUGCUCUGGGAGCAGGCGAUAUCGUAUCAGCUAGUUGGUGAGGUAACGGCUCACCAAGGCGAUGACGCGUAGCUGGUCUGAGAGGACGACCAGCCACAUCGGGACUGAGACACUGCCCGGACUCCUACGGGGGGCUGCAGUAACGAAUCUUCCGCAAUGCACGAAAGUGUGACGGAGCGACGCCGCGUGGAGGAGAAGUCCUUCGGGAUGUAAACUCCUGUCAGGGGAAAGAAAGUUCUGAUCUACCCCAGAGGAAGAGGCGGCUAACUCUGUGCCAGCAGCCGCGGUAAUACAGAGGCCUCGAGCGUUAGGCGGAAUCACUGGGCUUAAAGCGUGUGUAGGUGGAUGUCUAAGUACCUUGUGAAAUCCCACGGCUUAACCGUGGAACUGCUUGGUAUACUGGGCGUCUUGAGCCACUCAGGGGCUACCGGAACAAACGGUGGAGCGGUGAAAUGCGUAGAUAUCGUUUGGAACGCCAAUGGUGAAAACAGGUAGCUGGGGGUGUGCUGACACUGAGACACGAAAGCCAGGGGAGCGAACGGGAUUAGAUACCCCGGUAGUCCUGGCCCUAAACGAUGUCCACUAGAUCGUGGCACCUCUGACGGUGUCAUGGUCGAAGCA